UUAUGCCCGUGUUCGUUUUAUGAUCGGGCAAAAAUAGAGGCACAAAUUCGAACACAAGGCAGAUGCGAAGGAAGGCACUGAGGCAAUGAGGAAUCGGAAGCAAAUUAGUUGGGAGGGAAAAGACUCGAUCCUCAUCUGAUCGGGGAAAGGAAUCGGCAUCGAUUUCGAUUGAUUAAGAAGACGACCGAAUGGAAUCGUCAUAGAAACGAGGGAGCGGAAAGCUGGACACGAAAGAAGCAGCGGGGGAAGAGGCGUACAAUGGUAGCAGCGCUUCGUUGGUUGAUUAAUCGCGAAGACAGACCGCCGUCUCUGGGGUUCGACGAGGCCGAAGAGGCGAAGCAGCCAAGCUGCUGGGGUCUUCUGUUGUUUGAUUCGGUUACAGCAGCGGUACACGAAAAGGGAAAAUACGAGGUUUCGGUGGUAUUGAUGUGGAAACACGAAGUGGGAGAAGGCGAGGGCAGAGGUCUCGGUCUUUGGCCGGUCGCGAAGUAGAACGAAAGCGGAAUCGUAACGCUCUCUUUGAAGGGGCAAGACAAGCUGCGAUAUCUCGGUUGGGGAUGGCUUGGCAGCAAGGAUCGACGGAAGGAAGAAAAGGUUCGACGAUAGAUUUUUUUGGUGCUUGGAGCUAAAACGCAGAAGGGAAUGAAAGAAAAGUAUCAUUAAGGCUUUACAAGAACACCUCCAAUGGAGGCGUUAUUGACUGGAAUGAAGAAGAAGAAUAAAGGAAAUGGGUGCUGUGUUUUUGGUGAUUUAUUGACUGCUCUACUUGAGGAAAGAAACACGUGUCCUUUGAGUUUGAGUGUUUACUUUUGCAUUGUACAGGUUUUAUUUUGAGUGUAGUUUUGAUUGAGUGUGAUAUUGGGUUGAAGAAUAUUUUGCACGUAAUCAAGUUCAGAUGUGCAGGGACAAGUGAUGUUGGUGACUUGUGUUUCUGUUGACAACUCACAAUGAGAAAUAGCUUCUAACAAGUUUGUUUUAACCAGUUUGUUUUGGGUGUAUUUUUGGUUAAAAUGGUUUGUUUUGUGUGUGUCUUUUUAUAAAAUAAGGGUUGUAUAAUAAUUUGUAUAGUUUGUGUUGUAAAUAGUCUCAUUUUUGUAUUUAAUGUGUGUAUUGAUUUAAUUAAGUAUGUAUUUAGCAAUAUUAUAACUUGUAUUUGUAAUAGUCUCAUUUUUGUAUGAAUUUUGUGUAUUUAUUUAAUUAAGUACGAAUUUGUGUAUA